rnacentral:rRNA from 1 species
GACCUCGGGAGCUUGCACAGGUGCUGCAUGGCUGUCGUCAGCUCGUGUCGUGAGAUGUUCGGUUAAGUCCGCUAACGAGCGCAACCCCUAUCUUUAGUUGCCAUCAUUGAGUUGGGCACUCUAAAGAGACUGCCGGUGUCAAACCGGAGGAAGGUGGGGAUGACGUCAAGUCCUCAUGGCCUUUAUGACCAGGGCUACACACGUACUACAAUGGCCGGUACAAAGGGCAGCGACACAGCGAUGUGAAGCGAAUCCCGAAAAGCCGGUCUCAGUCCGGAUUGGAGUCUGCAACUCGACUCCAUGAAGUUGGAAUCGCUAGUAAUCGCGGAUCAGCACGCCGCGGUGAAUACGUUCCCGGGCCUU